AGCACGGCUAGCAGAGUUAGCCAGUUCUUUAGCUGUAAGCUUCAACACAAGCUUCCAGAAGCCUCCAUCGAGAGCACCAGUCAGCCACACAAUACAGCAGUCGUUGGAAACAAGGUUCGUCGGGUUCAAGGGGAGCUAUGUCACCUGCGUCGUGUAACAUACUAAGCAUAACAUGGUCUAUUCUAAUACCACAAGACAGACAGUUAAUUUCAUCGGAUAAGGGAAUUACUAUACAGCGAAAAUAGCGUAGGCGACAUCACGCAGCCCUGACGAACACCAGAGAUAACUGGACAUGGGUUUGCAAGAACGUUAUUAACGCGGACGCUUAACCAUGUAUUAGCAUACGUUGCCUGCACUGCGUCAAGAAAUCUACCCUGAAUCCCACCUUGUCUAAGCUUAUACCACGGGCAAUCACGAUUUACUUUGUCAAAAGCUUUUCGUAUAUCAAUAAAACGAAUAAAUGUAGA